UACAGAUGUUGAUAUAUUUCUUUCAAAUUUUCAAGGCCAACACAAAGAAACAGAAAUAUGAAAAAAUUAGUGAAAAGAAGAUGUCAACACCAGUUGAAGUUUUAUGCAAAGGUUUUCCAGCAGAAUUUGCCAUGUACCUGAAUUAUUGCCGAGGACUGCGGUUUGAGGAGGCUCCAGAUUACAUGUACCUGCGACAACUGUUCAGGAUUCUGUUUAGAACACUAAACUACCAGUAUGACUACAUAUUUGAUUGGACAUUACUAAAACAGAAGGCAGCGGCUGGAGCCGUAGCAAAUGUAGGCUCCUCGCAGCUGGCCACUGGAGUGAAAACAGGAAAGUGAAAGCUGACAUUACACAAGACUGUGACUGACAAAAAUACACAGAGACACAUUAAAAUGGAGAACUAUUGGAACACAACUGCCAGUGUGCAAUGUGAAACCCUAAAUGAGAAUAAGAGUAUGGACGAUUCACAUAUUCACAUUUGACCCAGGUUCACAGGGAUAGUGUGAAAGAACAGUGUCAUAUUGCUGUAUGUAAUGUUCUCUCUGUAUGACAGUUCUACUUCACACAACAGUUGGUACAUGUGAACAUGGUAUUGCAGUGUUCUAUGUUCACAUUUCAUAGAUUUUAUUUUCAUGAUUCACAUUUUUAUUCACAUUUUGUUUAUGUGAAUCGGAUUCCCAUAUAAUGUAUUUCACGUUUGCAUGAUGUGAAUCUGUUUCACAUUUCAUAGUUUGUGAUUAGUUCUAUUAUGUUUUAUAUCAAUGCUGUGCAUAGGAUUCAUGUGCAUAUUCCACAGAUGAUAAAUUAAAGUGUUGAUGUGUGUUAUUUAAAAUGGAUUGCUAACAGUUUAUAAAAACGUAUAUCUAAAAAAAGAUAUCAUACAUGUUCAGUUUGUGAUAAUUCGUUUAAGAUUUCAUGUCACAGAACAAAUUUAAUUUCAUUAUUUUCUUGAUGCCUCAUCAAUUCAGGGUAUACAAUUAGAGCAGAUUUUACUUGGUGUAUUACAGUAAGAAAUAUUGAGGAUCUUUUGAUGUGAUUUUGUACUGUUCUGAAUUGUUAAAUCACUUCUUUGUUUGGUUUUUCUACUAUCAUGUGUGUUUGGACAUUUACAAUUGUGUUAAACUUAUUUUGGAAUUAUAUCAUCUUUCAUAUAUAGAUAUUCAUUAUUACAUUUUUUGUUGUUAAUAAAUUGAAACUAAAAUGGCAUAAAACAAACUUAGCUCAAAGUUGAAUUGGAAUGAUGCCAUUUUUUCAAUGAAGUGGUUUCUAGAUAGUUGAAAACAAAUUUUUCAAACAACCUUAUUUUUCUAUGUUCAAUUAAAUCUUGAAUACACACACACAUACAUUUUAAGAAAUUUUAAGUUCCAGAACAAUAUGCUGUACUAUAAAAAUAACAAGAUAUAUAAUAUUUCAUAUGUUACUAUCUUCAUAUUUGAUGAUGAACUUCUUUUCAAUUUCAUAUUAAACAGAAAAUAAUGAAAUGCAUAUCACUAGGCUACAUCUGACUGAAGAUUUCUUGAUGUAUUUGAUUUUAUGGUAGAUGGCAUAUUUCUGUCUUAAGUUACACAGAGACAGAUGUGUGUAAAGAUGCAUAUUUUAUGAAUAAAUUUUAACUAGUACUUAAUCAUAAUAAAUUCCAUAAGGUAGAUGUAUAUCUGAUACUGUUACAACAGAAGAGAGCUAACGUCAUUUAAACAUUGAUUCAAAUUAAAAGUACAUUUCAGCUGAAAUAUUCUAAAAAGUAAUCACAGUACAAGUAAAGACUUCGUUCUGAUAUUUGAAGUCAAAGGGAGAUAACUAAAGACUUCGUUCUAAUAUUUGAAGUCAAAGGGAGAUAACUAAAUCGAGCAGGGGAGGUAGUCCAAGCGACACAUUUCAUUUAGAAUCGAAAAAAAACGACAACAUAUGAUUGAAUCUCAUUAGUUUUAUUGAUAUUUUCGUUGCAGAUUAUAUAUAUUCACAUAUAUUUUUGUUGUUAAAAUCAUGCCCCUUUUCAGAAAAUGAAAUGUAUGCUAUGAUUAUUACUGUUGUAUACCAGUUUACAGCAUGUGCUAAUGUAGUCGGCAUUGUAAGUGUUCAAAGACUUUGUACAUGUAUUGAUUUAUGAUAAAAGUAUCAGUUAUGAUGGUUUUUUUUUGAAGAUUUUCAUUUCAUUUCAAUGAUUUAACACAUUAGAUGGUUUAGUCAUUUCUGAACCAUAGGACAUAUUUGGUGAAUAUUUGACAGAUUUGUCAUUUAGGGCUUUCAGAAAUAUUAGUAAUCACUGAAACCAAGAAACUGAAAAAAACUGUCAUCACUGCCUUUAAACAAAACUCUGGGACAUAUCACCCUGAAGGAGUUCCUGCUGACCGACCACAAUACAGCAUUAUUUGGAAAAAAAGUGUUGAACACUCUUUUAUAACUACCAGUGAAUGAAAACAUCUGCAGCAUUACAACAAAAUAUAUUUGGGUCUUUAAUAGGUCUAAACUUUGUUUAUGAUAAAUUAAUCAACCUCUUAAUCCCAACUCCUUCAUUUAACAUCACAUUUUAUACAUAAUUUUGUCCCUUUUCUUUGUUAAAUAAAUAUAUCUGAAGUUGAUUAUUUUUUUUAACAAAUUCUAUACUGAAUUAUUAUGAUAAGUACUUUAAAUAUUUUAUCUGUACAAUCUAUAUCAACUUAAAAACAAUAAAUUCAGAAGGAAACAAACACCUCAAUUGUUUCGUUAGAUCUGUAUCUUCAACCCAAUUGGAAAACAAUGACCACUAUGAAAAUAUGCAAGUAUGAAAUUAACAAAAACAGUCUCCAUAUUAGAUUCAGGUAUGAUUUCCUAGUUAAUUGUGAUAAUAGUUUUUACCCAGUGGUACACUUGUUUUUGUGCAGAGUGAUGUGUGUGUAAUAUCAAAGAUGUUUGUGUUUUUGUCAGUGUUCACCUAUAUACUAUUAGUCUUUAUCGUUAUCAGUGUGAAUCAUUGUGGAUUGAUUUGUAUAAAAGAAGUAAAUGCCAAUCAAAAUUAUUGUUUAUUUAUAUUCAAAUUUUUUUUUUUUUCUCUUGUAUAAUUUUUCCUGAAUGACUUCAUUGGGUAUCAAAACUCUUGAGAGAGCAUAAUCUUUUUAAAGGGGUUAUUAAGGACUUGGUUAAAUUUUGGAUUUUCCACAAAUUAUGUGUUAUUUAUAAAUCAUACUGAUCCAGUCCUCUCAAGAAUGUGUUGUUUUCCAGUAGAAAUCUCCAUCAGGUUUUUAUAUUGAUUUUAAAAAACUUAUUAAGAAUCUGAAAUUGUGCCCUUAUUAGAAAAUUCAUUGUACUUGGCUCCACUCAUGCAGUUCAUUUACUGUCUUGUUUAACAAAGAUUGUACCUAUAUUAUCAUGUUUUUUUUGACACAAAAACACUUUUGCUGUCUUUCCUUGCGAAUGUAACAGUUGUUCCUGACGUUGAUUGUAAGUCAGGUUCCACUGUACAUGUCGUCGUUUGUGCUGCAUUCAUCUAAACAUAAGUCAUAUCAUGAUUAAGUUGUACGAUAAAUGAUUUGGUAGAGUAUGAAACCAGGUAAGUUUUAUGACACCAGUGCACAUCGUACGGUACAGGUAUCUUUUAUAAAUUAUAUAAGUGUGAUGUGAUAAUGAAGAUUCUAAUUCAGAAAACAUUUUAUAGAAUUCAUAAUUAACCUGGAUCACCAUUAAACUGACCACCAUUCAUAGCAAAACAAAAUUUCAAAUGCCUUUUUUCGAAAUCCUUUCUACAGAUUCAAUAUUUUUUGUUGUAUGCAUCUCAUCUCAGUUAAUUACAGUUAAUUUUUGGAUAUGUAAAUAGAAAUUUCUAACAAUAUUUUGUUCAACAUUAAAAAGAAUAUAUAAAUCUUAAUAUAUAAUACUAUAAAGUAGACUGAACAGAUUCUUUUGAUAGAUAUUAAAAUUAUAAAAUUUAUUACAACAGAGUCAUUUGUAAUAUAUUGCAUAUCUAAGUUCGAUAUAAUUUCCUGGACUUGUGAUAAGUUACAAUUUUGUAGUCAUAAUCAGUUCCAAGUAAACAUCUCUAAGACUCUUAUCUCACAUGAUUGUUAUAUUGUCGGUGAAUACACCAAUAUGUCGCAUAUGUGUGUGUAAACUUAUGUAGUGCGUUUUAUUGCGACGUCAUAAAUUGAUGAUGAAAUGACAUAACACACUGACAGUGUUUAUUGUGACGUCAUAAAAUGAUAAUGAAAUGACAUCAUACGUAUAUACACUGACAUUGUUUAUUGUGAUGUCAUAGAAUAGUAAUGAAAUAACAUUACACAUUGACAGCGUUUUAUUGUGACGGUAAAGAAAAGAAUUGGAAUCGCAAAAAAAAGUGUGUUGAAUGCAAUUUUUGCAAAAAUAAAAAAAUUAAAUGAUCAUGUUAUAAAAUUAAUCUUAAAUCCUUUUCAUACAACAUUUAUGAAUGGUGUCACCAGAGACUCACUACAAAAUUAACAAUAAUCACUCUUUCAUCAAUCUCAUAUGAAAUUUAAAUAGGAUUUAUAUUUGAUAUUUAUUUACAAUGUACAUCAUAAUGCAGUUUGUAAACAUUUUUGUUUAUUCAAUCAAUAUAAUCUUGCUCUGUCAAAUUGUGUAUUCAGGCAGUUCCUGAAUUACUAGUCCAAAAGAACGUACACUUUAGAUAUAGGUUGUCUUUCAAUAAAACGCCUUUCCAAAAGAUUUCUUCACAAAUAUAAUUUAGCACAUAUUUAAACUAUUUAGGUUGUAAAAGAAUGUGAUCUAAAAGUAUUAAUGACCAGAAACAUUAACCCAUGUGAAUGACCAUAGGGAAUGUUUUGUAAUGAGUAGUUAGGUGUGUCUAAUAGCAGAUUUUUUUAUUAGGUCACAUAGCCCAAGUAGUGCUAGGAAACCUUGAAGAAUCAUCUUUAUCUCGAUAUUAAAUUUUACUGCAUCUUCUACAUUUGCUUAUUUUUUGAGUCUAUAAGGAGAUAGAUGGAAAAGAUCAUUUCAUUAUUUAAGGACGCUAUUCACAAAUUACUAGAUUUUCACGAAAAAUAAAAGAAAUUUUUGAGAUUUUCAGUUGGUCAUCCAUCACUUCUCUUUACGAAUGGUGUUGAUCGUUGACAUGUUGUUAAAUAUUUGAAAUGUAUAUAAGGAAUUGAGAUUGAAACAGAUUUGUUCCUGGUGACUGGUGCAAAGUUUGAAACAUGGCCUGUGUUUAAUCGAAGUCAAAAUCAUUUCGUCGGAGAUAAAUACUCCUGAUGUUUCAAAUUAAAUAUAUUUUCAUCAAAGAAGUUUUUCUUUCUAGUUUUAAUUUUAUUUACAUUUGAAGAAGGAUUGAACAAGUUUAUGAUUUUUCUAUCUAAAGUGCACUCGUCAUAAAAAGCAUCUUGGUUUAUGAAGUGCACACUUUCUGUAUACCAAGAGUACCACAAAAUUUUCACAAUCUGCUCACUGUUUCUGAGAUUAUUUCUUGCACGAAUUCAUCAACAUUAUCUUAAUAUUUGAAUGAAAGUUUGGAGAAACAUAGUUCUUCGAAGAAAUGUUUGUAAUUUCGGGGCCAAUUUUCGAAACAGGUUUCUCAUACACAAUGAAUUGCGCAUUGAUAUAGGUAUUUUGAUAAAGUUAAUUUUGUGCACAGUUGUCUUGUGUAAAAAUAUUGAAAACUGAAUAGAUCUCGGGUUCAAAGUUCACUUGACAUGCGAUAGCCUUCACUUCUCUUCAUAUUGAAUGGCUAUGUUAUGGGCAUAUGCAAACUAGAAAAGGAGGUGAAAAUAUCAUUAAUAUAAAUGGAUGUUUGCUAUCAGAGUUUAGUACAAAUUCAUGAAGAUAAAGGGACCUUAACAUUAGUUUUUGUUUAUUAUAGUCAAAAUUUUCUGUUUUUUUUUUUUUAAUGACUACGCCAAGAAACUUUCAGCGUUUUAUAAUUCAUUACCAUGCUUAGAAAUUUGAUUAUUAUUUUCAUCAAGUUCAUCUUGGACAAAACAUUAU